GCUCAGAGAGUGCCUGUUAGAAAAAAUCAUCUAGAGGCGACUCGUGGGCCAGGAUCAGCACUCAAAGAGACGCCUCUGAACAAAUGGACACCGCAGAGAGUCCGCAACCCCAGGCACCAGCCCAUGUCUGCUAUGAAAUGGCACCACUCAUCACAACAGUCGCCUUACGGCACUCCCGGAUUCAAAAGCUGCAAAAGCAAUCUUCAGCUGCGCCAGGAGGUGAGCUGCUUCAGGCCUGAAGAGGAUUUGUGCACUUACAAACUAGAAUUUUACAGUAAAUUUC